rfam:Nicotiana attenuata strain TT chromosome 2, whole genome shotgun sequence.
AGGAGCCGUGUGAGAUGAAAGUCUCAUGCACGGUUUUGAAUGAGAGAAAGAAGUGAGGAAUCCUCAUGUUACGUCAAUUCGAGC